GAGCAGUGAGCGGCGCAUGCAGAGGAACACAGCAGGUGGGCCCCUGCCCGGAGGAGCCAGAAAACCAAACAGGUACAAUGCACAUGUCAUCACUGCACACUCUCCCAAGAUCAGAGAGUUGGCAGAGUGAGGCCAGGCUGUCGUCAGACCCUGCAAGGUGGCUGUGCGUCACUAAACCACCACAGGUAGUUUCUACUUACACCCCAAACCACCAGGGCAGAGCAGGGAGCCUCGGGCCUCGCCCAGUCUGGUGUGUGUCGUGGGGGGAAAGCCAGACUUCUCACAGGCCUUUAGAAUUGAGUCACUCCAAGUCCACGGCACACACAGCCCUGCAGGGACAGUCCAGAAGGUUUCUUGGACACUCAGUCAGCAUGGAAUGCAUGGAAUGAUUUUUCCAAGUGUCUUUUCAAAUGAUAGGAGUUUUGGCUUUUUCUGCAAGUUUCCCAGGCUCUUCCUUUCACGGAACCCCACUCCCUGCAGUCACCUCCCACCCCCGGAGACCUGGAACCUUGGCCUGAGGACCCUUGCUCUCCUCUGAACUCACAGAUGCCAUGUUUUGUCUUUGUGAUUUCCUUGACAUUAGAGCCAGGUGGCACCCCUCCUCUUCUAUCCUGUGGUUUCCACCUCCUUCCUACUGGUGUAACUUUGCACAUUUGCAGCUCCUCAAGUGGCCUGCAAGCUCCUUGAAGACAGGAAGUACUGAUGCAGCCACACAGCACCCGGGAGAGGCCCUCCUGCUAGCUCUGGCUCCUGCCUUUCUCUGACUACCUGAGGUUUAAGGCUCCUUUUGAGUGUGUGGACGAAUCUCCGGUUUCCUUCGAUUGGACACCCUGCUCCACUGAGGCUUCUGCCUUCCACCCCUGCAGGGUCCAUGGCCACAUCCGCACCGGCUGCCAAAGGUGCUGCUCUCCCACUCGUCAUGCCCUCUGAGCUACAGGACUUUACUUAGUGGAGCCCCUUGUUCAAAGUUUAUGAAGGACCUCAAGAUGGAGACAGCGGAACAGGAAGCUAAGAGUGAGACCCUUCUACCAGUACAUGCGGGAUGCUAAAGUGACACCUCGCCUCACCGACCAGCAGCCCAGGAGCUAACCAGGUGCAGGGCUGGCUACGCACAGAUGCCUCUCACAGAUGAGGAAACUAAGCACUGGAGGUUUACACACUUGUCCAAGGACACACUAAGUGGCAGAGAAGACAUAUAAACCUAGCUUGGUCUGUUUCCAAAGCCUGGCUCUUGACCACAAUGCUUCAUGGCCUUGUGGCUUGUCAUCAAAGUGUUUUAUGAAUCCUGACUUGCCAACACCUCUGAGGAAGGAAAACAUACUUUGAUUUUCCAGAACAACUGGAAGAGCCACAGACAAUCUAAGCUGGAGCUAGAAUUAGAAAGCAAUGUUUUCAUAUUCAAGUUCAAAUAUCAAAGACACUUGGGGAAACUGUCCAUCUACCCAUGGAAGAAUGUGCAUACAAAGAAGCACUUUCCAUUCUCUUUGCCCCAGAUCACAUGACAAUGCCAGGUCACAUGACAAUGAGGCACUGUCAUGUGACCUCUCAGAUAACCUGAGGGUGGGGAGGGGGUAUGUAGUGGCAGUCUGCAGCCAAGGGAAAAUCUAAAACUUACAAAGAGAAAAUACCAUGUUCAUCUUUAUCUUUGGUAAGGUAGAAAAUGAAGGAUUAUAUUUUCUUUUAUGUAGUGACUAGCUGAUAACAACAUUCUGAGUUGGAAAAUGCUCUUACUGUCACUUAAUUACACAGCGCAUUUGUUACUUUAUCAUAACCUGUAUACAUGGUAAUUGACAGGGUCAUCAGCACUUUAGAAUGGCUAUGUUUCUGAAUAGUACGUGCAACCCUGGAAGCCAGGAAUGCCACUGUUUGCAGUUAAACCUGUGCUUUUGUAUAAAGAUAUGGAUUAUCUUGCAAAAUUAACUUCACAUAUUAAUAAUCUUCUUGAGUUGAAUUGGUGAGGUUUUUGAUUUGUCUAUUUUUGUGGGGGGAAAUAAGUCCCUAAUAGUUACUGCACAAAUUCCUGAGGCUUUCACAAUAUUAGUUGUGGUUUCAAAUAUUUGACAUUCACAUUAAGAAUUAAAUACCAUCCAUUAUAUAACUUUUUUUUUCUCUUUAAAAUUAAAAACUUGCUAUAAAAACACUAAAAAAGGAUGGUAAUAACCAGGAUGUUAUUAUUAAAGCUAUAGAUCUGGUUCAACCAAAAUUUUAAUGUUAACCUAAAACUUUCUAAAAGAAACUGAAAGUUUGCAAGUAGCAGCCUAUAUUUCCCAUCCACAUAUUAACUUUUGAAGUUAUGACAUUUUAUGGAGUAAAACUUUUGUUUUUCAAUCUAGAAAUAUUUAUGGGUGUCAUCCUAUACAUUAAAAAUUUGCCUAAAAUUAGAAUAAGUGAAUACGUUUCACAACUAUAUUUCAAUACUAUUUGACACAUAAUAGAAGAUUAAGCAAAGACCUUCAUAUUUCUGAUAGCUGUGUUAUCAGAAGUUCUCAAAAUAUGAACCUGUGUCAAAUUUUACUUAUACAUUACUGUAGUGGUUGAAAUAUAUUGUACCAAUUUUACAGAGAGGUUUUUUAGAAGCUGAAACAAACCCACAAAUAAAGAGAACUUGAGCAAAACCUCAGGUUUUGGAGGUCUGCCCAGAUUUUGUGAAUUUACUUAUUAAGCAGCAUGGCUGCUGGAAAUCGUCCAGAACCUACGGGCUGCAGAAGAGCAGAGACUACGGGCGGAAGUCCGUCUGCUCUCCUCUGCGAGCAGAAGGAGCACAAAACUCUUGCUGUCAUUGCUAAACAGUCUCCUGAUUCGCUGGACAUCAGGGGUGCAACCUCACAUCCUAAGUAAGAGGAAGGAUGCUCAGGCCUUCCACAGGUUUGCAAAUGAGCAAACUAAAGCCCACAGUUCCUGUGAUUCAUAAAAUUCUUGUUCUACCUUUUGGUUUUGCUUUUCUGGCAUCUAUGAAAAAUCAGAAAUCAAAGUACUGAGCUCCUUGGAAGCUAAUACAUCACCCUGGUCAGCUUCAAAAUCAUACCAGAAUUGAUUACAGGCUGGCUGAUUAAAUGUGCAGGGGUGGGCAAACAGGUUACAGUUGUUCAUAUGGAACAUACCAACUAAUAAAUAAUAC